rnacentral:rRNA from 1 species
GAUGAACGCUGGCGGCGUGCCUAACACAUGCAAGUCGAGCGAUCUCUUCGGAGAGAGCAGCGGACGGGUGAGUAACGCGUGGGUAACCUGCCCUGUACACACGGAUAACAUACCGAAAGGUAUACUAAUACGGGAUAACAUAUGAAAGUCGCAUGGCUUUUAUAUCAAAGCUCCGGCGGUACAGGAUGGACCCGCGUCUGAUUAGCUAGUUGGUAAGGUAAUGGCUUACCAAGGCAACGAUCAGUAGCCGACCUGAGAGGGUGAUCGGCCACACUGGAACUGAGACACGGUCCAGACUCCUACGGGAGGCAGCAGUGGGGAAUAUUGCACAAUGGGCGAAAGCCUGAUGCAGCAACGCCGCGUGAGCGAUGAAGGCCUUCGGGUCGUAAAGCUCUGUCCUCAAGGAAGAUAAUGACGGUACUUGAGGAGGAAGCCCCGGCUAACUACGUGCCAGCCGCCGCAGUAA